AGUGAACGCUGGCGGUAGGCCUAACACACGCAAGUCGAACGGCAGCACAGUAAGAGCUUGCUCUUACGGGUGGCGAGUGACGGACGGGUGAGGAAUACAUCGGAAUCUACUUUUUCGUGGGGGAUAACGUAGGGAAACUUACGCUAAUACCGCAUACGACCUACGGGUGAAAGCAGGGGAUCUUCGGACCUUGCGCGAUUGAAUGAGCUGAUGUCGGAUUAGCUAGUUGGCGGGGUAAAGGCCCACCAAGGCGACGAUCCGUAGCUGGUCUGAGAGGAUGAUCAGCCACACUGGAACUGAGACACGGUCCAGACUCCUACGGGAGGCAGCAGUGGGGAAUAUUGGACAAUGGGCGCAAGCCUGAUCCAGCCAUACCGCGUGGGUGAAGAAGGCCUUCGGGUUGUAAAGCCCUUUUGUUGGGAAAGAAAAGCAGCAGGUUAAUACCCCGCUGUUCUGACGGUACCCAAAGAAUAAGCACCGGCUAACUUCGUG
rnacentral:rRNA from 1 species